CCUUGGUGUGAGUCCUGUUGACCUUGCACUUCACCCCAGAGACCUGGCAGCUGUGGUGCCUGGUCCGUUUUAGUGCCUGGUCCUGUGGCCAUAAAGCAGUGGGGGUUGAGCAGGCCCUGGACCCUCUGUGCUGUUUGGGAAGCACUGGGGAGGUUCAGGUCAUGCAGCAGAAGAGAGUCCACAAGUCUCUCAUGUCUGCACCUGAGAGCAGGCAGCUGUGGGCGAGUGCUGGGUUGUGUGGCAGGAUCUACUGCGCUCAUGCAGGGGUGCUGCUGGAUCAGAACACUGCCAGAGUGCCUGUGGCUUCAGAGGGGGCCCUGGAGUUGCUCCCCAUCCUUUCUCACAAGGCUGUGGCACAGUGGGUCCUCCUUGGCACAGCCCCCAGCCUGGCUGGGUAACUCCUAAAUGGUAAAGCUGGCCUAAUUAGUCUGUUUAAUCUUCUCCCAUAAAUCACUCCUCCCCAUCCCCUGCAGACUAUCGGCAGCAUCUGAAGUCAUUAGUUAAUUUAAACCUGGGAGUUCACACGUUGGCUUAUCAGAGCCAUCUCCUUUCCCCGCUAAGCGCUUGCUCGCUGCAUCCCCGGCUGCUGCUAGAUCCGAUCUGCGCCCGCUUUGAAGCCGUGAUGGGCUGCCAGCAGGCGAGGUGCUGCCUGUCUCCCUGCUGCUUCACUGCCUGCAUGCAGCAGUUUGACCGAAUGCUGGAAGGAGAAGGCGGCUCUGAUGCUGCUGCAGCUUCCCCGGCUGCCAGGGAAGUAAUAGAAUCUUAGAAUCAUCUGGGUUGGAAAAGAUCAUCUGUAAGAUCAUCGAGUCAGUACCUCCACAGGUCACAUCUUUCCUGCUGCCAGGUGACCUCCUGUGCCUGCUCCCUGUCCCUCGCAGCCCUGCUGCCCGGCGGUCACCUCGCUGAUCCAUGAGUGGAUACCCACGUCUGAUGAUUUUGCUCCAGGUGUACGAGCUGCACCCAUGAAAGGGUGGAUGGCUGGGCUUCCUUGGCAGGUCUGGAGAAAAAAUGCUGGGCAAACCUGGUCUCUGCCUGCUGGGUGACAGAGAUGACAGACACCUCACAGCGUGGCUCUGUGGCCAGGAGAGGGACAGACGGUGACUGGAAUGGAUAUGAGUGCCUUACCAGCUUUGUGUGCAGAAUGUCUCCAAGAAUGACAUCCAAGACUACCUGCCCAUGAGCAUCUCAGGGUCAAGGGUUGAUCCUGGUGUCAUGAUGCUGCAGUGACAGGAGACAGCAUCACCAUCAUCACCUACCCUGCACAUCAGAUCUUGGACAGUGCACUGUUCUGGAGUGGGAAGGUGCUGCCAUAUCCCCUCCCACCAAGAGAACAACUGCACUUGCCUGGGCCACCCCUUUCCUCCUAUUGCCUCCAGACUGGGGGACCUUGCUGAGUGCCACCUAACAUUUUUGGUUUGGAAUGACACGUGGACACGUUGGAGCUGCAGCUGCAAACGGGGAUGAUUCAGUGCUGCCCUUUGCAGAGUGAGGAGGAGACCACUUCAUGUUCAGCAACACAGUUACUCUGGCACUGGAUAAAAUGUCACCGAGCCGCCCUUGCAUGGGGACAGCAGGGUUAACACAGGGUCACACACGGGGCAGCAGCAGCCCUUGGUGGCGGCCAGCACACGCAGCUUCCUCCGUGGCACAGUGCCCGCGACGGUGAGACUGGCCCUGCUGGGCCACAUCCCUCAUCCUGCCAGGCAGGAAAGGCUCCGGCCCCACGCUCCUCCUCGCCUCUCCACAUCCCCUGCCCUCUGCCCCGCCACCGCUGUGGACAGCCCCGUGCUUGCCAGAUGACUUCCAGCCUCGCUGCUCUUCGGGCUGUCUGAGCAGCUCGUGAUCUUGGCAGGCAGCUCAGAGUCCUACCAGUCAUCAUUACUAUGAUUAUUUGUGUCUUCCCAGCUCAAAAGGGCUUUCCUCUUACCUCACCCCUGGCUGGCCUUGAGCCAGGUGGGAUUGUGGAUGGAGAAAGGGGAGAGGGCAGCAUCCUGCACUCAGAGCAGGGGUCUGCAGUGGGAUGCAGGAGAUGGGGCAGGGGGAAGGACAGAUCUUGUCCCUCCUCCUGAAUGCUCAGGAU